GGGGCCGGCCAACUUCGUCCGCCGGACUCGGAAUGGCGCGAGUCUUUGCGAGGCACCUCCGUGUGCCAAAAAUAGGCCGCGGGCACAGCCGCGCCCAAAAAUAACCGCCCGAAGGCCGGUGCGCCAAGUUCGUCCAGCGGAAAAAGGCCACAAAAACGGGUGGGCUAUAGCCUUGGGGGGUGGGGCUGGCCAACUUCGUCCGCCGGACUCGGAAUGGCGCGAGUUUUUGCGAGGCACCUCCGUGUGCCAAAAAUAGGCCGCGGGCACAGCCGCGCCCAAAAUUAACCGCCCGAAGGCCGGUGCGCCAAGUUCGUCCAGCGGAAAUAGCCCACAAAAACGGGUGGGCUAUAGCCUUGGGGGUUGGGGCCGGCCAACUUCGUCCGCCGGACUCGGAAUGGCGCGAGUCUUUGUGAGGCGCCUCCGUGUGCCAAAAAUAGUCCGUGGGCACAGGCGCGCCCAAAAAUAACCGCCCGAAGGCCGGGGCGCCAAGUUCGUCCAGCGGAAAAAGGCCACAAAAACGGGUGGGCUAUAGCCUUGGGGGGUGGGGCUGGCCAACUUCUUCCGCCGGAUUCGGAAUGGCGCGAGACUUUGCGAGGCACCUCCGUGUGCUAAAAAUAGGCCACGGGCAAAGCCGCGCCAAAAAAUAACCGCCCGAAGGCCGGGGCACCAAGUUCGUCCAGCGGAAAAAGCCCACAAAAACGGGUGGGCUAUAGGCUUGGGGGGUGGGGCUGGCCAACUUCCUCCGCCGGACUCGGAAUGGCGCGAGACUUUGCGAGGCGCCUCCGUGUGCCAAAAAUAGGCCGUGGACGCAGCCGCACCCAAAAAUAACCGCCCGAAGGCCGGGGCGCCAAGUUCGUCCAGCUGAAAAAGCCCACAAAAACGGGUGGGCUAUAGCCUUGGGGGGUGGGGCUGGCCAACUUCGUCCGCCGGACUCGGAAUGGCGCGAGAAUUUUCAAGGGGCCUCCGUGUGCCAAAAAUAGGCCGCGGGCACAGCCGGGCCGAAAAAUAACCGCCCGAAGGCCUGGGCGCCAAGUUCGUCCAGCGGAAAAUGGCCACAAAAACGGGUGGGCUAUAGCCUUGGGGGGUGGGGCUGUCCAACUUCAUCCGCCGGACUAGGAAUGCCGCGAGACUUUUUGAGGGGCCUUGUGUGCCACAAAUAGGACGCGGGCAAAGCCGCACCCAAAAAUAACCGCCCGAAGGCCGGGGCGCCAAGUUCGUCCAGCGGAAAAAGGCCAAAAAAACGGGUGGGCUAUAGCCUUGGGGGGUGGGGCUGGCCAACUUCGUCCGCCGGACUCGGAAUGGCGCGAGACUUUGUGAGGGGCCUCCGUGUGCCAAAAAUAGGCCGCGGGCACAGCCGCGCCCAAAAAUAACCGCCCGAAGGCCGGGGCGCCAAGUUCGUCCAGCGGAAAAAGGCCACAAAAACGGGUGGGCCAUAGCCUUGGGGGGUAGGGCUGGCCAAAUUCGUCCGCCGGACUCGGAAUGGCGCGAGACUUUGCAAGGGGCCUCCGUGUGCCAAAAAUAGGCCGUGGGCACAGCCGCGCCCAAAA
rnacentral:lncRNA from 1 species